GUCAAACUUCUACAAAAUAAAAUGAUUUUAGCAGAGUUUGCACAUUUAUUUUGUCGCGGUGAAAUGUUUUAUAAAACCAUAUUAGUGCUAUUUUAACCAAACAUUACUAAUAAACAAGGAUUAGAUACCCUUCUAUACAAUGCCCAUUUUUCUUUGCAGAGCACUAAAACCUUAAGGUUAAAACUCARACAUCAUGGCGGUAAUCUUAGCCCUUAGGGGGACUUACCAAAUAAUUGAUAACCACCAAGGUAAAUCAACUUCAAAAAACUCUUGUAUGCCGUCGUCGUCAGGUAAUACUUCUAGUCUUACCGUAUUAAUAUAUUUAAAAAGACAGAUCAAGGUGCAGACAAUUUUGACGGUUCGGCGAGUUACAUUUAACUAAUUAACCGACAACUUUUCGUACAAAAGUUUGAAGAAGGACUUAAUAGUAAUUUAUAUAAUCAACAAUAUGUGAAUUUAAUAAGAUAGUGC
rnacentral:rRNA from 1 species